UUGACUACAGAUCUUUCUUUUUAGGUAACACUAAACAGAGUAACAGAUGACGGAAAGGUUGCCAUUGGCCUUCCAGCCCGCUUGGGGGUGCUCUCUGCUCUCCGACGGGGCUGACACUGCGUGUGGACAGUGUGCGGAUGGGGCCUGGUGUCCCACAGCAUGAUUGACCCUGAGUGCAGAAGGGUUUUAACCAGGCCAGGCAUCCCACACCUCAGCCGUUAACCUCGAGGGUGAUAGAGAGAAAACGGAAAUCUCGUUCAUGGUGGCAGCUGGGAAUGUACUAAUCUCAGAAGUAGCAAGCCUCCGCGGAGCUCAAGGGAAAGCAGUCGCUCCAGGGCUGUCUGCCGGCUUUGUCCAGGCUGCUAGCACCCGUGGAAGGGAAGCGUGUACCGGGGCCCCCGCCGCCGCGGCCUCACCUCGGCAGUACCGCAGCACCGUCUCCAUGGCGCUCUUCCGGUCCGAGGCCCAGCGCAUGCGGGCGGAGCCGGUGAUCUUGUUCUCCACGGGCCACCAGCCCUGCCAGAGGUACACCUCGUGGUGAUUGUCAACAAGAAAAAGUGCUGCGAGGGCGGAGCAGAGCAGACGUCUCAUCAGGGGCUCUGCCCCACACCGAACCGACGCCUCCCCCCCUGCCGCCUCGGUCAGUGCGAGAAUCCGCUUGGCAGCAGACCCUCAGCCUGACUCUCCCACGCGGUCAAGGGCUCUCACACCCGCCAGCCCAGCUCGCCUGAGUCCUUUGCUAGCCUGCAUCUCAGAAUUCUGUGAUAAUCACAUGCCUGAAAAGCCCAGCGGAGGCUGCCCCACCUGAGCCGCAGGACGGAGAGAAACAUGAUGGCUGGAGCAGGGGCAGCCACAUGGAGACCAUGAAGCAGCAAGCUGGAGGGAAGGCUGAGAGAACAGCAGAGACUCAUGCCUGACACAGCUGCACUCAACCUACUCUUAACUGACGA